rnacentral:pre_miRNA from 1 species
UAUAAGAGAUUUUGAGUUUUUACUUGUAACGUUUGACCACUCGUCUUAUUCAAAUUUUUUUGAAAUUAUUAUUUAUUUUAUUUGUGACUUAAUUUAUUAUCUACAGUAUUUUAAACACAACUUUUCGUUUUUUAUAUUUGCAAAAAAAAUUAAAUAAGACGAGUGGUCAAACGUUACAAUAAAAACUCAAAAUCCCUUAUA